GGAAGUGUGUGUGUGUGUGUGUGUGUGUGUGUCCCCCUUAACUGUUCUGCGCAGGUGCACACACGCACAUG
rnacentral:miRNA from 1 species